rnacentral:rRNA from 1 species
AGUGAACGCUGGCGGCAGGCCUAACACAUGCAAGUCGAACGGCAGCACAGGAGAGCUUGCUCUCUGGGUGGCGAGUGGCGGACGGGUGAGGAAUACAUCGGAAUCUACCUUGUCGUGGGGGAUAACGUAGGGAAACUUACGCUAAUACCGCAUACGACCUACGGGUGAAAGCAGGGGACCUUCGGGCCUUGCGCGAUUAGAUGAGCCGAUGUCCGAUUAGCUAGUUGGCGGGGUAAAGGCCCACCAAGGCGACGAUCGGUAGCUGGUCUGAGAGGAUGAUCAGCCACACUGGAACUGAGACACGGUCCAGACUCCUACGGGAGGCAGCAGUGGGGAAUAUUGGACAAUGGGCGCAAGCCUGAUCCAGCCAUGCCGCGUGGGUGAAGAAGGCCUUCGGGUUGUAAAGCCCUUUUGUUGGGAAAGAAAAGCAAUCGGUUAAUACCCGGUUGUUCUGACGGUACCCAAAGAAUAAGCACCGGCUAACUUCGUGCCAGCCGCCGCCGUAAUAC